GUCUAUGGCCAUGCCACCCUGAAUACAUCUGAUCUUGUCUGAUCUCGGAAGCUAAGCAGGGUCAGGCCUGGUUACUACUUAGAUGGGAGACCACCUAGGAAUACCAGGUGCUGUAGUUG
rnacentral:rRNA from 1 species